AGUCGAACGGACUUACAUUGAAGCCUAGCGAUAUGUAAGUUAGUGGCGGACGGGUGAGUAACGCGUGGGUAACCUGCCUUGUACUGGGGGACAACAGUUGGAAACGACUGCUAAUACCGCAUAAGCGCACAGCUUCGCAUGAAGCAGUGUGAAAAACUCCGGUGGUACAAGAUGGACCCGCGUCUGAUUAGCUGGUUGGUGAGGUAACGGCCCACCAAGGCGACGAUCAGUAGCCGGCCUGAGAGGGUGAACGGCCACAUUGGGACUGAGACACGGCCCAAACUCCUACGGGAGGCAGCAGUGGGGAAUAUUGCACAAUGGGGGAAACCCUGAUGCAGCAACGCCGCGUGAGUGAAGAAGUAUUUCGGUAUGUAAAGCUCUAUCAGCAGGAAAGAAAAUGACGGUACCUGACUAA
rnacentral:rRNA from 1 species